ACCUCCCCUUCAUGUUCCGCUGACGUCGUCAGCGACAUGCCAGGCAGCUUCGGUCUUCCGGCUGCCCGCGGAUCCUUCCGUGUGACCGAGCCCGUUCGCAGCGCAUCCCUCGCGCGAACGACCACCGGCCUGCCGGUGGCGGAUGC
rfam:Pseudomonas sp. EGD-AK9 Contig_1, whole genome shotgun sequence.